UACGUAGGGGGCAAGCGUUGUCCGGAAUCAUUGGGCGUAAAGAGCGUGUAGGCGGCUCGGUAAGUCCGCUGUGAAAGUCCAGGGCUCAACCCUGGAAUGCCGGUGGAAACUGUCGAGCUAGAGUCCGGAAGAGGCGAGUGGAAUUCCAGGUGUAGCGGUGAAAUGCGUAGAUAUCUGGAGGAACACCGGUGGCGAAGGCGGCGAUUCUGGACCGACAUUGACGCUGACGGAGCGAAAGCCAGGGGAGCAAAGCGGG
rnacentral:rRNA from 1 species